GGGCAUGAUGUUUUGACUCAGAAUCAAAAAACAUCCACACUCCAGCAGCCCAUUUUUCCCUCCCAUCACAUUUGAGUCAUGUGUGUGGGCCAAUGGAGCAGCUGAUAGCAUGGGAUUCUGUCAGUGCGUGCUUCUGAAGAGUUGACAGUGCACAGCUGACCAGUAUCCAACAAAACCAGCCACGCUGGAGCUUGAUGAGCGGCAGCCAUGGGUGUGAUGGUGCAUGAUCUCAAGUUUUCAAUCUGAGACC